AUUGAACGCUGGCGGCAUGCUUUACACAUGCAAGUCGAACGGUAACAGGCCUUCGGGUGCUGACGAGUGGCGCACGGGUGAGUAAUGCAUCGGAACGUACCCAGAGGUGGGGGAUAACGCAGCGAAAGCUGUGCUAAUACCGCAUGUGAUCUGAGGAUGAAAGCGGGGGACCGAGCAGCAAUGUUUGGCCUCGCGCCUUUGGAGCGGCCGAUGUCGGAUUAGCUAGUUGGGCGGGUAAAGGCCUACCAAGGCGACGAUCCGUAGCUGGUCUGAGAGGACGACCAGCCACACUGGGACUGAGACACGGCCCAGACUCCUACGGGAGGCAGCAGUGGGGAAUUUUGGACAAUGGGCGCAAGCCUGAUCCAGCAAUGCCGCGUGCGGGAAGAAGGCCUUCGGGUUGUAAACCGCUUUUGGCAGGAACGAAACGGUGUCCGCUAAUACCGGGCGCUAAUGACGGUACCUGCAGAAUAAGCACCGGCUAACUACGUG
rnacentral:rRNA from 1 species